rnacentral:rRNA from 1 species
AAGUAAAUUUUUUCAAUUUUCCAAUAGGGAGGAAAAGAAACCAACAGGGAUUGCCUCAGUAGCGGCGAGUGAAGCGGCAAGAGCUCAGAUUUGAAAUCGUGCUUUGCGGCACGAGUUGUAGAUUGCAGGUUGGAGUCUGUGUGGAAGGCGGUGUCCAAGUCCCUUGGAACAGGGCGCCCAGGAGGGUGAGAGCCCCGUGGGAUGCCGGCGGAAGCAGUGAGGCCCUUCUGACGAGUCGAGUUGUUUGGGAAUGCAGCUCCAAGCGGGUGGUAAAUUCCAUCUAAGGCUAAAUACUGGCGAGAGACCGAUAGCGAACAAGUACUGUGAAGGAAAGAUGAAAAGCACUUUGAAAAGAGAGUGAAACAGCACGUGAAAUUGUUGAAAGGGAAGGGUAUUGCGCCCGACAUGGGGAUUGCGCACCGCUGCCUCUCGUGGGCGGCGCUCUGGGCUUUCCCUGGGCCAGCAUCGGUUCUUGCUGCAGGAGAAGGGGUUCUGGAACGUGGCUCUUCGGAGUGUUAUAGCCAGGGCCAGAUGCUGCGUGCGGGGACCGAGGACUGCGGCCGUGUAGGUCACGGAUGCUGGCAGAACGGCGCAACACCGCCCGUCUUGAAACCCCGGGACCAAAAAUUUUU